UGAUACCUACGGGACGCAGCAGUGGGGAAUAUUGGGCAAUGGGCGCAAGCCUGACCCAGCAACGCCGCGUGAAGGAAGAAGGCUUUCGGGUUGUAAACUUCUUUUGACAGGGAAGAGCAGAAGACGGUACCUGUCGAAUAAGCCACGGCUAACUACGUGCCAGCAGCCGCGGUAAUACGUAGGUGGCAAGCGUUGUCCGGAUUUACUGGGUGUAACGGGCGUGUAGCCGGGCUGACAAGUCAGAUGUGAAAUCC
rnacentral:rRNA from 1 species